UACAGAGGGUGCGAGCGUUAAUCGGAAUUACUGGGCGUAAAGCGUGCGUAGACGGCUAUCUAAGUCGGGUGUGAAAGCCCCGGGCUCAACCUGGGAAUUGCAUUCGAGACUGAAUAGCUAGGGUACGGUAGAGGGAAGCGGAAUUUCCGGUGUAGCGGUGAAAUGCGUAGAUAUCAGGAGGAACACCAAUGGCGAAGGCAGCACUCUGGGACGUGACUGACGCUGAGACGCGAAAAGCUAGGGGAGCAAACGGGG
rnacentral:rRNA from 1 species